rnacentral:ncRNA from 1 species
AUAAUGAUACUUCUCUGUCGCCAUAGUCCGAGCGUUCAAAGCGUCGCAGGCAAUGGGCGGAGCCGCAUGAGAACCAUGCGGGGGUGGAAUUCCCAUG